CGGGGAUUAGGGUUCGAUUCCGGAGAGGGAGCCUGAGAAACGGCUACCACAUCUAAGGAAGGCAGCAGGCGCGCAAAUUACCCAAUCCUAAUACAGGGAGGUAGUGACAAGAAAUAACAAUACAGAACCUCACGGUUUUGUAAUUGGAAUGAGUUAAGUAUAAACCCCUUAACGAGUAUCAAUUGGAGGGCAAGUCUGGUGCCAGCAGCCGCGGUAAUUCCAGCUCCAAUAGCGUAUAUUAAAGUUGUUGCAGUUAAAAAGCUCGUAGUUGAUUUUCUGUUAAUUUUUAUGUAUAAUAUUGCGAUAUUUACAUAAUAUUAACAUAAUUCACAUUACUUUACAGUAUGUGGAAUUUUACUUUGAGAAAAUUAGAGUGCUUAAAGCAGGCUAUUGCCUUGAAUACUCCAGCAUGGAAUAAUAUUAAGGAUUUUUAUUCUUCUUAUUGGUUCUAGAAUAAAAAUAAUGAUUAAUAGGAACAGUUGGGGGCAUUUGUAUUUAACAGUCAGA
rnacentral:rRNA from 1 species